rnacentral:rRNA from 1 species
AUUGAACGCUGGCGGCAUGCUUUACACAUGCAAGUCGAACGGUAACAGGCCGCAAGGUGCUGACGAGUGGCGAACGGGUGAGUGAUGCAUCGGAACGUGCCCAGUCGUGGGGGAUAACGCAGCGAAAGCUGCGCUAAUACCGCAUACGAUCUCUGGAUGAAAGCGGGGGACCGAAAGGCCUCGCGCGAUUGGAGCGGCCGAUGUCAGAUUAGGUAGUUGGUGGGGUAAAGGCCCACCAAGCCAACGAUCUGUAGCUGGUCUGAGAGGACGACCAGCCACACUGGGACUGAGACACGGCCCAGACUCCUACGGGAGGCAGCAGUGGGGAAUUUUGGACAAUGGGCGCAAGCCUGAUCCAGCAGUGCCGCGUGCAGGAAGAAGGCCUUCGGGUUGUAAACUGCUUUUGUACGGAACGAGACGGUCCUGGUUAAUACCUGGGGCUAAUGACGGUACCGUAAGAAUAAGCACCGGCUAACUACGUGCCAGCCGCCGCAGUAAGAC